GACGAACGCUGGCGGCGUGCCUAAUACAUGCAAGUCGAACGAACUCUGGUAUUGAUUGGUGCUUGCAUCAUGAUUUACAUUUGAGUGAGUGGCGAACUGGUGAGUAACACGUGGGAAACCUGCCCAGAAGCGGGGGAUAACACCUGGAAACAGAUGCUAAUACCGCAUAACAACUUGGACCGCAUGGUCCGAGUUUGAAAGAUGGCUUCGGCUAUCACUUUUGGAUGGUCCCGCGGCGUAUUAGCUAGAUGGUGAGGUAACGGCUCACCAUGGCAAUGAUACGUAGCCGACCUGAGAGGGUAAUCGGCCACAUUGGGACUGAGACACGGCCCAAACUCCUACGGGAGGCAGCAGUAGGGAAUCUUCCACAAUGGACGAAAGUCUGAUGGAGCAACGCCGCGUGAGUGAAGAAGGGUUUCGGCUCGUAAAACUCUGUUGUUAAAGAAGAACAUAUCUGAGAGUAACUGUUCAGGUAUUGACGGUAUUUAACCAGAAAGCCACGGCUAACUACGUGCCAGCAGCCGCGGUAAUACGUAGGUGGCAAGCGUUGUCCGGAUUUAUUGGGCGUAAAGCGAGCGCAGGCGGUUUUUUAAGUCUGAUGUGAAAGCCUUCGGCUCAACCGAAGAAGUGCAUCGGAAACUGGGAAACUUGAGUGCAGAAGAGGACAGUGGAACUCCAUGUGUAGCGGUGAAAUGCGUAGAUAUAUGGAAGAACACCAGUGGCGAAGGCGGCUGUCUGGUCUGUAACUGACGCUGAGGCUCGAAAGUAUGGGUAGCAAACAGGAUUAGAUACCCUGGUAGUCAAUACCGUAAACGAUGAAUGCUAAGUGUUGGAGGGUUUCCGCCCUUCAGUGCUGCAGCUAACGCAUUAAGCAUUCCGCCUGGGGAGUACGGCCGCAAGGCUGAAACUCAAAGGAAUUGACGGGGGCCCGCACAAGCGGUGGAGCAUGUGGUUUAAUUCGAAGCUACGCGAAGAACCUUACCAGGUCUUGACAUACUAUGCAAAUCUAAGAGAUUAGACGUUCCCUUCGGGGACAUGGAUACAGGUGGUGCAUGGUUGUCGUCAGCUCGUGUCGUGAGAUGUUGGGUUAAGUCCCGCAACGAGCGCAACCCUUAUUAUCAGUUGCCAGCAUUAAGUUGGGCACUCUGGUGAGACUGCCGGUGACAAACCGGAGGAAGGUGGGGAUGACGUCAAAUCAUCAUGCCCCUUAUGACCUGGGCUACACACGUGCUACAAUGGAUGGUACAACGAGUUGCGAACUCGCGAGAGUAAGCUAAUCUCUUAAAGCCAUUCUCAGUUCGGAUUGUAGGCUGCAACUCGCCUACGUGAAGUCGGAAUCGCUAGUAAUCGCGGAUCAGCAUGCCGCGGUGAAUACGUUCCCGGGCCUUGUACACACCGCCCGUCACACCAUGAGAGUUUGUAACACCCAAAGUCGGUGGGGUAACCUUUUAGGAACCAGCCGCCUAAGGUGGGACAGAUGAUUAGGGUG
rnacentral:rRNA from 2 species